CCUUUCAAGAGAGGCGUGUUGGGGUUUAUAUUUGGCAGACGGCAGUAGGCAGGAUGCCAUAGAGUGGGUGCUGCGCCAUAUGGAAGCGUUGCUGAAGUAACGGCAGGUGUUGUGGCGUCAAGGCAAAAGGUGUUGCGGCUGCUUCUCAGCAGGCUUUUAAGGAAUCCAAAGCGAAGGAAAUCAUGCCCUCCACCACCAUCCAGUCCCUCCACCGACCUCCACUGCCCAGUUGCAUCUUCCACCCGAAAAAAUGCAAUGAAUCGGUGGAAAAUCUUACAGCAUGUUUCGUCUGCAAGGUCCCAAGAGAGCUCUGGGAAAAAAAGUGGAACACAUUUUCCUGAAGACCCCGACGUUGAGUCUUCAUCGCCCAAGCCCUCCAGCAUUCUCCCCAGAUGACCAAGCCGAGCUCAACCAUCCCCUUCAUUCAAUUCCUUCAAUAAAUCUCUUCAGCUUG